rnacentral:lncRNA from 13 species
AUAAAUGCAGCCUGCUAAAUAAUGGUGGGAAAAGAAAAAAAAUAAUAUUAAGGAAAAAGCCCUCAAGAACACUUAUUUUCCUUUAUAAUUGUAUUUUCUUGCAUUCCUUCCUGCUGCUUUGUUUCACUAAUGAGAAAUGAAGCAAUAUACAGUUGAGAGAGCCAAUACUUUGCAGCCCAAUCACCAACUGCACAGUGUGGGAGAACAGGGCUAAAGCCCUUCAAUAGGAGCUCAUCUUAUAUUGCCCUCAUGCUAAACUGCUGUUCCCACUGACUUCUUACACUCAUUCUGCUGCUCAUACUCCUUCUCUAGUGAAGCCCAUGCACUCAAAGCUGCCUCAGGAAGAAAUUUAAUCAUGGUCUGCUCCUAUGUUCAGCAGAAAAUCCUCCAGUCACGUUCAGGGCUGUUGCAGUGGGGAUCCUGCAACACGCAUAUAUCAAACCAGGAGUCCCGUGGAAAGGAAAUAUAUAUGGACAGACAGAUUCUUGAUAGCUGUUUCAGAGAGAGAUGUUUAUUUCUCCAGCCGCAUGGCCGGGGCUCUGCCGAGGAACUGUUCCAGUCACGGGACCAAGGGUCCUUCUGCCCGCGCAGGGAACACAAACCAACCCAUGGGAACGAGGCUGAGCAGGGACAGGGAAGCCCCGUGUCUGUGCCCUCAGGGCCCCUCUCCCAGGGCUCCAUGGCAGGGGGGGGACCCCAACACAGGGCCACAACCUGCAGCUUCACCAUUGGAGCAAUCCUCAGACCACAGCAUUGAUCAAUCACUUUGACAUCAUCCUUUAUGGCAAAGAGGCAGCAAAGUACUCUUCCAGAAGUUUCUCCCCCUCCUCUGUCACCUGCUCACUGCACUCCAGGAAUAGCUAUUGCAGCACAUUGUAUUCAGCCUAUUUUCCUGUUGCCUAAAGUCUCUCUCGUAUCUCACUGAACAACAGUAGUAUCAUGGUGCUGUGCCCAUCCCUGAUCAAAUCUGACAUGCCUGAAAAAAUGUAAGCAGAACAUUGUUCUUGCUUACAAAAAGUUCUCAUGAAUCACAAUAAAGUACAGGCUGACUCAGAAGUUGUAUGAAUACCAUUUAUUUAUUUAUAUUUGUAAAAGGAAAAAUAUCAAACUGUAAGACAGAUAUACACACUGUAUUCUCAUAUCCCUAUUUCUCUCCAGGUUUCACAGCACUGGAUCUGCUUUUCAGACUUGCAGAAGUACAAAUCUGUUAGUUCCUUCCCAUAUUUGGAUGUCCAUCAUGUUGCUCAGUUCUGGAUCACAUUUAGCAAGUGAGAGAAAAGGAUAGACUGGAAAAAAUAAACAGUUUCCCCUACUUUUAAUUGGAACAUUUUAGGGGAAAGCUGAACAUAGUAAGAUAACAACAACUCUACCUCACUCUGUUUACUAAAUGGCCUGUAAAAAUACUCUUUCUUUCUGCUCCUAUUUAUCCUGUCCUCAAAAAGUUCCACAGUUUCUAGUUUCAUGGUGUUGUUCAAGGUAUUGUCCAUGCAAAAUCCCCUAUGUCUUGCAGCUAACCAGCAUUUGCGUAGACAGUCUCUGCAUAAAGCUCUGUGGCCUGUGAUAGGAAGGAGAUCAGCCUAGCCAGCCCUUCUGGGUUUAAUCCAUGAAAUUACUGCCUUCAGUCAAGGCUUCAUUCUAACAAGAUUAUUUGAACAAUUUCCAUGGACCAAGUUCUUCUUUUCAAGCAUUUUUAUAAAAGCACCAUUCAGUGACCUAUCCAAUGCAGACAAUGUCACACUAGAAUUUACUGGAGAACAUUUAGUGGGAAUUAAAAAGCAAUUUUUUUUCAAUCUAAUAAACUAAACAUCUCUAUUUUUACAUAAGCAAAAUAGCAUGUUAAAUGCAAAAUUUCAUGUGGUAUUUUUAUUUCCAGUUUAAAAAAAAAAAAAAAAAAGGUGCAAAUUUGCUUAUUUUGACCUAAAAUGCCCUGUAGUUACCAUUACCUGGUUUGGUGUGAUCCAUAUAAUCCCCAAAGCAAAGCCUCAGAUGCACACAAAAAUUAAGCUUAUGUUAGAGGGGCCAGUGACAAACCUAAUUGUUUGAAUAAAAGAGGUGUGAGUAUCUGUGGCAACAAAGACCUGAAGUGACAAAGACUAGUCACAAAGUGACUAGAUUUGACAAGUCAAAUCUAAAACUCUGUAAAAAGUUACAAUAUCUGUAACAUUCUUGCCAGCUUUAUAUUUUUGCAUGAUUUGAUGACUGGACAUUUGCUGUGAAAUCCCUGGGAAAAAAGGUAUUCUGCAUUGCUAUAGCAAAGUUCAGCUUUUUAGAAAAAGCAGCUGCUGAAUUUUCUGGAAUAAACACACAAACCGUUUUAAAGACUUGACCCUUGAUUCCUUCAUCACAGGACUUCUAGGGACUUCAGGGAAGUCUGCAAGUAUGAGGAACACACAAUGGGCUCUGAUUCCACAGUCUUGAGCUAACCAGGCUUCUUUUCAGUCACAUAAAGGAAAGCAGCCUCCUCACAGCUGUGCUGUUUUAUAUACCUGAAAGACAAUUUUAAAAAUUAUCAUGGUCUUACUAGGGAAUUUGGAUAUGCAGUCAUUACUAAAUUGCCAUAAAGUUCCAUAUUACCAAUUCUGUCAUUACUCUACAGCUUCAAGACACACAGUAUCUUUGUGCUGCAUCUCUUUUUCUCACUGUAAGAAAACAAGAGCAUAUGAAUGACAGCAAAAAUGAAGCCAAAUGUACUGUUGAGAAACUUGGUAUUCUCUUAUUUCUAGGAGAGUUAUAGUGUAAUUCUAAACUGCAGCAUUCAGCAUGUCUCCUGAGCUUCCUCGCUGAAAUAUAGCAAUGGAAAUUUUACAGCAUCUGUGUUGCUUUUGGAAGCCAUCACCUCACAUCUGCUGUCUCCGUAGUGUAGAGUUUAACUUCAGCAUAAAAAGGUACUUUGUAAUAUGCAAGAGAAAUCCUGACAGAGUAGUAAUUUACAGACUCGCCCGGCUCUCCUGACUAGACUCACUCAGUUUUACAUUCUGUAGAGAUUUUUAAAUAAGGUGCGCUUCAAGCAGCCACCAGCUAAAGAGUCGCUUCUUAAAAUGGAGCGUCGCAUCCAGGACUGGAGACUUUUUAAACCUCUGCCAGUCACUGAGUCCUCUGCCAGACGUUUUCCUCACCGGGCAUUGUUCGAUCUCGUAACACUUUCCACAAUGGUGUUAACUAAAUUAGGGCUAAAAUAACCACCUGCUACUUUUGGAAAAGUUCUGAUUUUGAUCAGAAACAGCACUGCGCGUGCAAUAACAGGAGCGGUUCCACAGCCCGAGCACGCGGAGGAGCCACGGCCUCCGAGAGCUUCCCAGUCCCGUGUGACCUGGGGUGGGCGCCGGGGUCGGGAGCGGCGCUCGGUCAAUUGCAAAUCAACUGUGAUUACACAGCGGGCGAGUUUAUCGCCCCAUCAUCGCCCAUUUCCUCCUAACGGGGUAAUCCGCGCGUCCGCUCACACGGCGACGGGGCCGGCGACAAGAGCCUGUUGGCUCAGCNCCCAGCCCCGCUUCUCCCGGUGUGACUCCCCGCGAAUCACACGAUUCCCGCCGCCGGCAGACGGGCCCCGCCGCGUUCCCGCGGUUCCAGUCAUUAGGGCCGCAGCGGGAGCGCCGCGCGAGCGCCAGGCGCAGCAGCGCCUCAAUUAACAAACAAACUCCCCGUCCCGGGAGCGCGACAACCCCCCGGGACGGCCCCGCCGCGCUCGCAGCCCGCGCCCGCCGCCGCCGCCGCUCCCCUUAAGGUGGUCUGGCUACGGCGGGGCCGCCAAAACACCCGCCCGCCCCUUCCCCGCGGCGGGUGGGGGAAAAGCGGGGACUCCCCUCGGGGCCGUCCCGCGGCCCCCGGGAGCGGAGGGCGGGGGGUCCCGCGACGUGGGGCGGCGGCGGCCGAGCGGGCAUCGAGCCGCAGAUGGCUCCUCUGCCGGCCCGGGC